rnacentral:rRNA from 1 species
UACGGAGGGUGCAAGCGUUAAUCGGAAUUACUGGGCGUAAAGCGCACGCAGGUGGCUGAGAAAGUCGAUUGUGAAGCCCUGGGCUUAACCUGGGAAUUGCAGUCGAAACUACUCGGCUAGAGUAUGGGAGAGGGUAGUGGAAUUCCCGGUGUAGCGGUGAAAUGCGUAGAUAUCGGGAGGAACAUCAGUGGCGAAGGCGGCUACCUGGCCCAAUACUGACACUCAGGUGCGAC